rnacentral:rRNA from 1 species
UGGGGAAUAUUGGACAAUGGGGGGAACCCUGAUCCAGCCAUGCCGCGUGUGUGAAGAAGGCCUUAUGGUUGUAAAGCACUUUAAGCGAGGAGGAGGGUACUGGUAUUAAUACUACCAGGUACUGGACGUUACUCGCAGAAUAAGCACCGGCUAACUCUGUGCCAGCAGCCGCGGUAAUACAGAGGGUGCAAGCGUUAAUCGGAAUUACUGGGCGUAAAGCGCGCGUAGGUGGUUCGUUAAGUUGAAUGUGAAAGCCCCGGGCUCAACCAGGGAAGUGCAUCCAUAACAGGCGAGCUAGAGUAGGGCAGAGGGAGGUGGAAUUUCCUGUGUAGCGGUGAAAUGCGUAGGUAUAGGAAGGAAAACCAGUGGGGAAGGAGACCACCUGGGCUCAUACUGACACUGGGGUGCGAAAGAGUGGGGAGCAAACAGG